GAGAACCCUAAGAACAAGAUCACUGCCAUUCCUGCUAAUGAGGAAGAGAUUUGGGGAGCCACCUUCAAGGUGGAAGGAGCAACAGUUCUUGCAGAUUGAGAGUGAAAGAGAGUAAAAAAGAAACAAGCUCAAUGUCUCGUAAAUCUCGAACUGUAACAGCAAAAAAAC